rnacentral:piRNA from 1 species
UAUGAGGUCAUGAGCAUCCUGUUGCCCCAU